UCGCGGCCCCAACAGCUUGUUGGUGGGGUAAUGGCCUACCAAGGCGACGACGGGUAGCCGACCUGAGAGGGUGACCGGCCACACUGGGACUGAGACACGGCCCAGACUCCUACGGGAGGCAGCAGUGGGGAAUAUUGCACAAUGGGCGAAAGCCUGAUGCAGCGACGCCGCGUGAGGGACGACGGCCUUCGGGUUGUAAACCUCUUUCAGCAGGGACGAAGCGCAAGUGACGGUACCUGCAGAAGAAGCACCGGCUAACUACGUGCCAGCAGCCGCGGUAAUACGUAGGGUGCAAGCGUUGUCCGGAAUUACUGGGCGUAAAGAGUUCGUAGGCGGUUUGUCACGUCGUUUGUGAAAACUCACAGCUCAACUGUGAGCCUGCAGGCGAUACGGGCAGACUUGAGUACUGCAGGGGAGACUGGAAUUCCUGGUGUAGCGGUGAAAUGCGCAGAUAUCAGGAGGAACACCGGUGGCGAAGGCGGGUCUCUGGGCAGUAACUGACGCUGAGGAACGAAAGCGUGGGUAGCGAACAGGAUUAGAUACCCUGGUAGUCCACGCCGUAAACGGUGGGCGCUAGGUGUGGGUUCCUUCCACG
rnacentral:rRNA from 1 species